rnacentral:rRNA from 1 species
GUCUAUGGCCAUGCUACCCUGGAACCAAGCCCGAUUCAUUCUGAUCUUGGAAGCUAAGCAGGGUUAGGCCUGUUUAGUACUUUGAUGGGAGACCACCUAAGAAGACCAGGUGCUGUAGGCG